AUCCAGCUGAGGAGUCCUAAAUAGGACGAAACGCGCGUGGUGAAU
rnacentral:hammerhead_ribozyme from 1 species